UACGAAGGGGGCUAGCGUUGUUCGGAAUUACUGGGCGUAAAGGGCUUGUAGGCGGCCAACUAAGUCCGACGUGAAAUCCCCAGGCUUAACCUGGGAACUGCGUCGGAUACUGGAUGGCUUGAAUUCGGGAGAGGGAUGCAGAAUUCCAGGUGUAGCGGUGAAAUGCGUAGAUAUCUGGAGGAAUACCGGUGGCGAAGGCGGCAUCCUGGACCGACAUUGACGCUGAGGAGCGAAAGCUAGGGGAGCAAACGGG
rnacentral:rRNA from 1 species